rnacentral:rRNA from 1 species
GCAUGUUCACAUGAUUAAAGGUAUUCCGGUAGACGAUGGGGAUGCGUUCCAUUAGAUAGUAGGCGGGGUAACGGCCCACCUAGUCUUCGAUGGAUAGGGGUUCUGAGAGGAAGGUCCCCCACAUUGGAACUGAGACACGGUCCAAACUCCUACGGGAGGCAGCAGUGAGGAAUAUUGGUCAAUGGGCGAGAGCCUGAACCAGCCAAGUAGCGUGAAGGAUGACUGCCCUAUGGGUUGUAAACUUCUUUUAUAAAGGAAUAAAGUCGGGUAUGCAUACCCGUUUGCAUGUACUUUAUGAAUAAGGAUCGGCUAACUCCGUGCCAGCAGCCGCGGUAAUACGGAGGAUCCGAGCGUUAUCCGGAUUUAUUGGGUUUAAAGGGAGCGUAGAUGGAUGUUUAAGUCAGUUGUGAAAGUUUGCGGCUCAACCGUAAAAUUGCAGUUGAUACUGGAUGUCUUGAGUGCAGUUGAGGCAGGCGGAAUUCGUGGUGUAGCGGUGAAAUGCUUAGAUAUCACGAAGAACUCCGAUUGCGAAGGCAGCCUGCUAAGCUGCAGCUGACAUUGAGGCUCGAAAGUGUGGGUAUCAAACAGGAUUAGAUACCCUGGUAGUCCACACGGUAAACGAUGAAUACUCGCUGUUUGCGAUAUACAGCAAGCGGCC